GGGGCGGUAGUUCAGUUGGGAGAACGCAGCGUUCGCAACGCUGAGGUCAGGGGUUCAACUCCCCUCCGCUCCACAA
rnacentral:tRNA from 3 species